rnacentral:tRNA from 1 species
GCCUGGCUGGCUCAGUGGGUAGAGCAUGUGACUCUUGAUCUCAGGGUUGUGAGUUUGAGCCCCAUGCUGGGUG